UGGGGAAUUUUGGACAAUGGGCGCAAGCCUGAUCCAGCAAUGCCGCGUGAGUGAAGAAGGCCUUCGGGUUGUAAAGCUCUUUUGUCAGGGAAGAAACGGUUCUGGUUAAUACCUGGGGCUAAUGACGGUACCUGAAGAAUAAGCACCGGCUAACUACGUGCCAGCAGCCGCGGUAAUACGUAGGGUGCAAGCGUUAAUCGGAAUUACUGGGCGUAAAGCGUGCGCAGGCGGUUAUGUAAGACAGAUGUGAAAUGCCCGGGCUCAACCUGGGAACUGCAUUUGUGACUGCAUGGCUAGAGUGUGUCAGAGGGGGGUAGAAUUCCACGUGUAGCAGUGAAAUGCGUAGAGAUGUGGAGGAAUACCGAUGGCGAAGGCAGCCCCCUGGGAUAACACUGACGCUCAUGCACGAAAGCGUGGGGAGCAAACAGGAUUAGAUACCCUGGUAGUCCACGCCCUAAACGAUGUCUACUAGUUGUCGGGACUUAAUUGUCUUGGUAACGCAGCUAACGCGUGAAGUAGACCGCCUGGGGAGUACGGUCGCAAGAUUAA
rnacentral:rRNA from 1 species